rnacentral:misc_RNA from 1 species
UCUCCUCAGGAACUUGCUCAACAAGUUCAGCACCACCCCAAGGAAGGCACGAUAAAAUACAAGUAAUAUAGAAGUCAGCACGUGCUUGCCAAGAGGGAAUUCCUUUUUCUUCGUCCACAGUAGUCGCUGCUGAUGAUAAUAAGCUUUCGAAAAUAACCACUAAUGCACUCGGUUGGAUAACUUUGCUGCACAUCAAAACAGUCAAAAACCUCAUCAAUAUACGGAUCUUGUUGCACUGUCCAGUCUCCAACGCAUCCUGUAAAUUAAUUUGAGUGCUCUCCACUAAUUUCCUGACAAAUUCCUCAUUUUCCAAAUUCAAAAGGCCAAUCAGUGUUCCAUACAGAGGUAUCUUGUGAGGCAAUUGCUCAGCACACUGGAGAAGGAAUGGAAAAACAUCGUCCCCAGAAUGCUCUAUUUCUCGGCGAACCAAACUAUGGCAUGCAUCUAUUUGAUCUUUGAAAUCAGCAUUUCCGGCGUACUCAGGACACUUCUCGCCGAGUCGCAAGAGCAAACUCCUCCAACUACUCAUUCCUUUUUUCUUACAAGCAAAUUACAGCAGCAAGGACUCAACUGAUGCAACGAAGAACAAGAAGAAGAAGG